rnacentral:rRNA from 1 species
GACGAACGCUGGCGGCGUGCUUAACACAUGCAAGUCGAACGGUAACAGGCCGCAAGGUGCUGACGAGUGGCGAACGGGUGAGUAAUGCAUCGGAACGUGCCCAGUCGUGGGGGAUAACGCAGCGAAAGCUGCGCUAAUACCGCAUACGAUCUGCGGAUGAAAGCGGGGGACCUUCGGGCCUCGCGCGAUUGGAGCGGCCG